CACGUAGGGGGCAAGCGUUGUCCGGAUUCAUUGGGCGUAAAGAGCUCGUAGGCGGCUCAGUAAGUCGGGUGUGAAAACUUCAGGCUCAACCUGGAGACGCCACCCGAUACUGCUGUGGCUAGAGUCCAGUAGGGGAGCGUGGAAUUCCUGGUGUAGCGGUGAAAUGCGCAGAUAUCAGGAGGAACACCAGUGGCGAAGGCGGCGCUCUGGGCUGGAACUGACGCUGAGACGCGAAAGCGUGGGGAGCAAACAGG
rnacentral:rRNA from 1 species